UUGAAUCUGGCAGUGUAGAGUGCGUCAGAGGGGGUGGAAUUCCACGUGUAGCAGUGAAAUGCGUAGAGAUGUGGAGGAACACCGAUGGCGAAGGCAGCCCCCUGGGAUGACACUGACGCUCAUGUACGAAAGCGUGGGUAGCAAACAGGAUUAGAUACCCUGGUAGUCCACGCCCUAAACGAUGUCAACUGUUGUUGGGGGAGUGAAAUCCCUUAGUAACGAAGCUAACGCGUGAAGUUGACCGCCUGGGGAGUACGGUCGCAAGAUUAAAACUCAAAGGAAUUGACGGGGACCCGCACAAGCGGUGGAUGAUGUGGAUUAAUUCGAUGCAACGCGAAAAACCUUACCUACCCUUGACAUGUCCGGAAUCCUGCAGAGAUGCGGGAGUGCCCGAAAGGGAAUCGGAACACAGGUGCUGCAUAGCUGUCGUCAGCUCGUGUCGUGAGAUGUUGGGUUAAGUCCCGCAACGAGCGCAACCCUUAUCAUUAGUUGCUACGCAAGGGCACUCUAAUGAGACUGCCGGUGACAAACCGGAGGAAGGUGGGGAUGACGUCAAGUCCUCAUGGCCCUUACGGGUAGGGCUUCACACGUCAUACAGUGGUCGGUACAGAGGGUUGCCAAGCCGCGAGGUGGAGCCAAUCCCAGAAAGCCGAUCGUAGUCCGGAUUGUUCUCUGCAACUCGAGAGCAUGAAGUCGGAAUCGCUAGUAAUCGCGGAUCAGCAUGUCGCGGUGAAUACGUUCCCGGGUCUUGUACACACCGCCCGUCACACCAUGGGAGUGGAAUCUGCCAGAAGUAGGUAGCCUAACCGCAAGGGGGGGCGCUACCCACGUGUU
rnacentral:rRNA from 1 species